rnacentral:rRNA from 1 species
GUAAAGCGCACGCAGGCGGUCAAUUAAGUCAGAUGUGAAAGCCCCGAGCUUAACUUGGGAAUUGCAUCUGAAACUGGUUGGCUAGAGUCUUGUAGAGGGGGGUAGAAUUCCAUGUGUAGCGGUGAAAUGCGUAGAGAUGUGGAGGAAUACCGGUGGCGAAGGCGGCCCCCUGGUACAAAGACUGACGCUCAGGUGCGAAAGCGUGGGGAGCAAACAGGAUUAGAUAC